CAUUAUUUGUAUACAUAUAUUGUGCUGAGAUAUUGGCUGACAUCCCGGUUUUUGUACUUCUGCUGUAAUGCCGCCACCGUGUCGACGAUUUGGAACCAACGCCGCAGAAAUGUCUGGUACUUCAAUUCUUUAUCGCCUUUGACCACUGGACAGUACAGUAGGUGGCUGUCAGAACUGCUCUUUCUCUCUGGUGAUGCCAUCUGAAGAGGUCAACUUUCUCUGAGUCUGAGGCCUCAUCCUAGCCACUCAGAAAUUGUUGUGCUGGCUGGCGGACAGAACAGAAGAGAGUAAGCAGCUAUGCAUACAGAAAUGCUCCAUCAGCAGAUUGCGGUCAAUGCUCCCUGGUUGGUGUCUGCAUCUCCACAGAUCCGGCAGAUCGUGGUUUGACCCGCAUUUGAUUAUGAACAGUGAGUGCAUCUGGUUUUUCCUAUACCCAGUGCUGUGGUGUCAUUUGGAUGGUGUAACCACAUGUCCAAUUGAUGCAUGCACAAAUAUGGAGACUUCGAGCAAAGAGCAUCUGCGCUGCGCCUCAGGUUUCUUCACCUUGAAUCAUCGAGUGUCUACUGGCUUGAUAUCAUGUUCCUGAGGAAAAAAAGCUAAGGUUCCAGAAAUGGCGGGAGUGUAGGUUAACACGUCGAUUAGGAUAUGAUGAUGAUGAUGAUUAUGGACGCGAUAAGCUGGCCGUCAUUUUCGGCUGGGAGGUUCGGUUCGGUCCGUUUGUAAAGGCCAAACUGAUGAGUGCGUUGCCGUGCGUGCGUGCUCGCGACAGGAUGGGCGAGAGACGUGAGGAUUCGAGAAGGCGUUGCAGUCAAGAAUUGCAGGCUCGGACAGGUAAAGGGCGUUACAUUUUUUUUUUUGAGAUCGUGCGUAGCACGUUUUUCAUUAAGUAGAAAUCAGGGACAAAAUACAAGUGCACUGCUUGGAUGGUAACCACAGUUACCAAAACCAA